rnacentral:lncRNA from 1 species
CUUUCAAGGAGCAGCUACAGACCAGAAACCGGUAGUUUUGGGGAGCACAAGAAAGACGUACACCUUACUCCUGGGGACGAGGGUGCAUUCCAGAAGCCUGCGGUAUAAAUGUACCUGCUCUCCUUGCCAGUCAACCAGUUGUCUCUCUAGAGCAGGAGCUCGAUGAACAGUGGGUUCCUGAUCCACACCUGCCUGAAAGCCUCCUAAGAGCCUCCUAGGAACUAGCCACUUUCCGGAGGCAGAGCUGCUCGCAGCUGUCUGCAGACCUCUUCCUGAAGCAAGCAGGUACCUUUCCAUGCCCUACGUGAGUGACCGCACACGCUGCCCCCUUCCCACACUGUCCUGAGCAGCGCUGCCACCUUGCCCUGACGGGAAUGGCACCCCUGGAGUUGAGCAGGUGCACUCAGCAGACAAGACCACC